UGGGGAAUUUUGGACAAUGGACGCAAGUCUGAUCCAGCCAUGCCGCGUGCGGGAAGAAGGCCUUCGGGUUGUAAACCGCUUUUGUCAGGGAAGAAACGAGUUUCUCUAAUACAAAGACUUAAUGACGGUACCUGAAGAAUAAGCACCGGCUAACUACGUGCCAGCAGCCGCGGUAAUACGUAGGGUGCGAGCGUCAAUCGGAAUUACUGGGCGUAAAGCGUGCGCAGGCGGUUUUGUAAGACAGAGGUGAAAUCCCCGGGCUCAACCUGGGAAUUGCCUUUGUGACUGCAAGGCUUGAGUGCGGCAGAGGGGGAUGGAACUCCGCGUGUAGCAGUGAAAUGCGUAGAUAUGCGGAGGAACACCGAUGGCGAAGGCAAUCCCCUGGGCCUGCACUGACGCUCAUGCACGAAAGCGUGGGGAGCAAACG
rnacentral:rRNA from 1 species